rnacentral:rRNA from 1 species
UCCUGGCUCAGAUUGAACGCUGGCGGCAGGCCUAACACAUGCAAGUCGAACGGUAACAGGAAGCAGCUUGCUGUUUUGCUGACGAGUGGCGGACGGGUGAGUAAUGUCUGGGAAACUGCCUGAUGGAGGGGGAUAACUACUGGAAACGGUAGCUAAUACCGCAUAACGUCGCAAGACCAAAGAGGGGGACCUUAGGGCCUCUUGCCAUCGGAUGUGCCCAGAUGGGAUUAGCUAGUAGGUGGGGUAACGGCUCACCUAGGCGACGAUCCCUAGCUGGUCUGAGAGGAUGACCAGCCACACUGGAACUGAGACACGGUCCAGACUCCUACGGGAGGCAGCAGUGGGGAAUAUUGCACAAUGGGCGCAAGCCUGAUGCAGCCAUGCCGCGUGUAUGAAGAAGGCCUUCGGGUUGUAAAGUACUUUCAGCGGGGAGGAAGGGAGUAAAGUUAAUACCUUUGCUCAUUGACGUUACCCGCAGAAGAAGCACCGGCUAACUCCGUGCCAGCAGCCGCGGUAAUACGGAGGGUGCAAGCGUUAAUCGGAAUUACUGGGCGUAAAGCGCACGCAGGCGGUUUGUUAAGUCAGAUGUGAAAUCCCCGGGCUCAACCUGGGAACUGCAUCUGAUACUGGCAAGCUUGAGUCUCGUAGAGGGGGGUAGAAUUCCAGGUGUAGCGGUGAAAUGCGUAGAGAUCUGGAGGAAUACCGGUGGCGAAGGCGGCCCCCUGGACGAAGACUGACGCUCAGGUGCGAAAGCGUGGGGAGCAAACAGGAUUAGAUACCCUGGUAGUCCACGCCGUAAACGAUGUCGACUUGGAGGUUGUGCCCUUGAGGCGUGGCUUCCGGAGCUAACGCGUUAAGUCGACCGCCUGGGGGGUACGGCCGCAAGGUUAAAACUCAAAUGAAUUGACGGGGGCCCGCACAAGCGGUGGAGCAUGUGGUUUAAUUCGAUGCAACGCGAAGAACCUUACCUGGUCUUGACAUCCACGGAAGUUUUCAGAGAUGAGAAUGUGCCUUCGGGAACCGUGAGACAGGUGCUGCAUGGCUGUCGUCAGCUCGUGUUGUGAAAUGUUGGGUUAAGUCCCGCAACGAGCGCAACCCUUAUCCUUUGUUGCCAGCGGUCCGGCCGGGAACUCAAAGGAGACUGCCAGUGAUAAACUGGAGGAAGGUGGGGAUGACGUCAAGUCAUCAUGGCCCUUACGACCAGGGCUACACACGUGCUACAAUGGCGCAUACAAAGAGAAGCGACCUCGCGAGAGCAAGCGGACCUCAUAAAGUGCGUCGUAGUCCGGAUUGGAGUCUGCAACUCGACUCCAUGAAGUCGGAAUCGCUAGUAAUCGUGGAUCAGAAUGCCACGGUGAAUACGUUCCCGGGCCUUGUACACACCGCCCGUCACACCAUGGGAGUGGGUUGCAAAAGAAGUAGGUAGCUUAACCUUCGGGAGGGCGCUUACCACUUUGUGAUUCAUGACUGGGGUGAAGUCGUAACAAGGU